UGAGGAAUAUUGGACAAUGGGCGCAAGCCUGAUCCAGCCAUGCCGCGUGCAGGAUGAAGGCCUUCGGGUUGUAAACUGCUUUUUGUACGGAACGAAACGGCGAACUCUAAUAAAGUUUGCUAAUGACGGUACCGUAAGAAUAAGCACCGGCUAACUACGUGCCAGCAGCCGCGGUAAUACGUAGGGUGCAAGCGUUAAUCGGAAUUACUGGGCGUAAAGCGUGCGCAGGCGGUUAUAUAAGACAGAUGUGAAAUCCCCGGGCUCAACCUGGGACCUGCAUUUGUGACUGUAUAGCUAGAGUACGGUAGAGGGGGAUGGAAUUCCGCGUGUAGCAGUGAAAUGCGUAGAUAUGCGGAGGAACACCGAUGGCGAAGGCAAUCCCCUGGACCUGUACUGACGCUCAUGCACGAAAGCGUGGGGAGCAAACAGGAUUAGAUACCCAAGUAGUCCCUGAGCGGGCUGGCAAGGCGCAU
rnacentral:rRNA from 1 species